AAGUAACAUACUAUUUUCAACUUAUCUAAUGUUGCUAAAUACAAAAACACAUAUGGUUUGAACAAAUCGCUAUCAUUAAAGGGAAACAUAAAGAAUCAGGACAAUUUUUGUCGCCAAUACAAGGCACAGAUGAUCCUGUGAUAUAAGAAGAUAAGAGUGUUAAUGAAAGGGGACAAAAAUUAUGUAGAAUGUAAGAAUAAAUUUUUUAAAUCAAUCGUUGGUUCAGUAGUGAUUGACUUUGGACUUGAUAUGGAGGAUCACGGUUAGAUUCCCUGCAAUUGCGAUCGGAAGAGGGUUGAAAUCAACCAGAACUGACUCCCGAACCAGAUUAGACGGUUUAGUGAGCCGGAUACUUGUGGUAAAAACAAAAAAUUAAAAAAUUAAAAGGAUGAGAGAAAAGACUUACCUGAGUUUGCAUCACUUAAAACAAAAAAUAGGUAAAUAAAGACGUUCAUAGCAUAAACAUAUUUGAGAAUUUUUGUCAUAUUUGUUUUUCUUCUUUUGAUGUAGCACAUUAAUUUUUCGUAUCAAUUUUAAUGUUUUCUUUAGGAAAUCAUAAAACUAGUAUAAUUAUUAAAUGUCUUUUACGUGUAUCCAAAUGGUGUGGUUGCUCCUUU
rnacentral:lncRNA from 1 species